rnacentral:rRNA from 1 species
GACAGAGGGUGCAAACGUUGCUCGGAAUUACUGGGCGUAAAGCGCGUGUAGGUGGAUUGGUGUGUCAGAUGUGAAAGCCCUGGGCUCAACCCAGGAACUGCACCUGAAACUACCAGUCUUGAGUGGUGGAGAGGGAAGUGGAAUUCCUGGUGUAGAGGUGAAAUUCGUAGAUAUCAGGAGGAACACCAGUGGCGAAGGCGGCUUCCCGGACACUAACUGACGCUGAGACGCGAAAGCGUGGGGAGCAAACAGG